rnacentral:lncRNA from 1 species
CCAUUGAUCCAUGAAGUUAUUACAAUCUCUCAGACUUCCAUUUCAAAAUUCAACUCCACAAUCUCAUGAAAACAAGAGUGCUUCAUGUUACACUUAUUGCCAUUGACAAAACUUAACUAGUCCGUUUUAGCUUUCUUCUCCUGUGUAUAUAACGCGGUUGAUGUAGCCGUACUCUUCGCGAUCCGAUCCGAUGUAGCGCCGAACGGACGACACCUCCACAUUCAGCACACGUGCGGCUCGAUGACAUCUCCUCCUUCUUGGUCCAACAAGUAAGGUAGGAGAAGUGGAUGGGAUCUUAACCAACAUGACGACAUCGUGGAUAUUGUGGUGGAGCAAUCCUGGCAGGGCUUCGCCAAACGCUACCAUAGAUGCGAUCUGAGGAGAAAAUGGACUAACGGGAGGGAGAGGGAUCUUGCCGGGGCAUGGG